UACGUAGGGGGCAAGCGUUGUCCGGAUUUAUUGGGCGUAAAGAGCUCGUAGGCGGUUCCGUAAGUCGAGUGUGAAAAAUCUGGGCUCAACCCAGUGGAGCACUCGAUACUGCGGUGACUGGAGUACGGUAGAGGAGUGUGGAAUUCCUGGUGUAGCGGUGAAAUGCGCAGAUAUCAGGAGGAACACCGACGGCGAAGGCGGAUCUCUGGGCCAUUACUGACGCUGAGGAGCGAAAGCGUGGGGAGCGAACAGG
rnacentral:rRNA from 1 species